CCUACGGGUGGCAGCAGUGAGGAAUAUUGGUCAAUGGGCGGGAGCCUGAACCAGCCAAGCCGCGUGAGGGAAGAAGGUACAGCGUAUCGUAAACCUCUUUUGUCAGGGAACAAAGGCGGGGACUAGUCCCCGGAUGAGGGUACCUGAAGAAAAAGCAUCGGCUAACCCCGUGCCAGCAGCCGCGGUAAUACGGGGGAUGCGAGCGUUACCCGGUUUUAUUGGGUUUAAAGGGUGCGCAGGCGGCCUGUUAAGUCAGCGGUAAAAGCCCGGGGCACAACCCCGGCGAGCCGUUGAAACUGGCGGCUGGAGUGGGAGAGAGGUAAGCGGAAUGCGCGGUGUAGCGGUGAAAUGCUUAGAUAUCGGGCAGAACCCCGGUUGCGAAGGCAGCGUACCGGGUCGAAACUGACGCUGAGGCACGAAAGCGUGGGUAUCGAACAGGAUUAGAUACCCGGGUAGUC
rnacentral:rRNA from 1 species